UGGGGUAUAUUGCACAAUGGGGGAAACCCUGAUGCAGCGACGCCGCGUGAGCGAAGAAGGCUUUCGAGUCGUAAAGCUCUGUCCUAUGAGAAGAUAAUGACGGUAUCAUAGGAGGAAGCCCUGGCUAAAUACGUGCCAGCAGCCGCGGUACUACGUAUGGGGCGAGCGUUGUCCGGAAUUAUUGGGCGUAAAGGGUACGUAGGCGGCUAGAUAAGUGUGAUGUUUAAAUCCAAGGCUUAACCUUGGGGUUCAUUACAAACUGUUUAGCUUGAGUGCUGGGGAGGAGAGUGGAAUUCCUAGUGUAGCGGUAGAAAGCGUAGAUAUUAGGAGGAACACCGGUGGCGGAGGCGGCUAUCUGGACAGUAACUGACGCUGAGGCGCGAAAGCGUGGGGGGCAAACAGG
rnacentral:rRNA from 1 species